rnacentral:rRNA from 1 species
CCCUUAGAUGUUCUGGGCCGCACGCGCGCUACACUGAUGAAUUCAACGAGCUCCUAACCUAGGCCGAAGGGUCCGGGUAAUCUUUGAAAUUUCAUCGUGAUGGGGAUAGAUUAUUGCAAUUAUUAAUCAUCAACGAGGAAUUCCUAGUAAGCGCGAGUCAUCAGCUCGCGUUGAUUACGUCCCUGCCCUUUGUACACACCGCCCGUCGCUCCUACCGAUUGAAUGGUCCGGUGAAAUGUUCGGACCGCGAAAAGGCGGACGGUUCGCUGUCAGCUUUGCUGCGGGAAGUUCAUUAAACCUUAUCAUUUAGAGGAAGGAGAANUCGUAACA